rnacentral:rRNA from 1 species
CCUACGGGGGGCAGCAGGAGGGAAUAUUGCGCAAUGGGGGAAACCCUGAAGCAGCAACGCCGCGUGGAGGAUGAAGGUGUUAGGAUGGUAAACUCCUGGUGUUAGAGAAGAGGAUGACGGUAACUAACGAAUAAGCACCGGCUAACGCCGUGCCAGCAGCCGCGGUAAUACGGAGGGGGCAAGCGUUACUCGGAAUCACUGGGCGUAAAGAGUGCGUAGGCGGGGUAAUAAGUCAGAUGUGAAAUCCUGUCGCUUAACGACAGAACUGCAGUUGAAACUGUUACUCUGGAGUGUGGGUGCGGUAGGUGGCCUUCUUGUUGUAGGGGUCCACUCCGU